UCGGAAUUAAGAAUGGUCUUAACAGCAUAGUCCCUUCGAUAAUUCAUUCUCUUCGGAAUAAAUAAUGUUUUAAGAUCAUAGUCCCUUUUCGAUAUAAUAAGAAUGAUCUUAAACAUAUAUAUUCUUCUUCAACUCAUGGAGAAGUUAGAUGUUAGAAUGGUCGUAGCACCAUAUUUGAGUGGUUGAAAUGCCUAUUGAUAUUUGGAGAAGUUAAAAAUUAGAAUGGUGGUAACACCAUAUUUGAGUGGUCUCAACAUCAUAAUUGAGUGGUUACAAUACCAUAUUGGUUUCAGUAUUAAAAGAUUGGUCUUAGUACCAUAUUGAAGGUGUAAUUCUCGAACGGUUUUCUACAGUGCAGUAGUUAAUCGAACAGUUGUAGCUGGGCUUGUUUUAUCCUGGAGGCGGCGUGGUUGAUAGUCUGCCUUGCACAAUUUUGGGCAGUGCCAUGAAACGUCUUAAAGAGAGCGACCUGGUCGUGACUCAACCUAAUAACAACUUCGGUAGAUAAUAGAAUUUGGAAAUCCAAAAACAACAAUUUUAAGACGUUUCGAUCUGCUAUGUCUAUCGAAGAAGUUACUUAUUGAGGUUGAAUUGUCCCUAAACAAAUUAAGAAUAAAUCAAGCUAUAGAAUUACAUCUUUUGAUGAAGUGCUUGUUGUUUAAAACAACAACAUUAAUAUUCACCGAAGAAGCAAUGUUUAUCUUACUUAACAUGAGAAGCCACGCUUGCUAUAUUUCAUUCGGCAUGGCUUGUUUCCUUUGAUAUUAAGUAAGAACAUGACUUCUGAAGUCGUUAAAGAACUUUUAUGCAAUUACAUAAAAGUAUGAAAUCAAAGUUGGAUAUGACUUUAUCCCUGCUAUUGCAAAGUCAACAUUUGCAGAGAACUUUUUAUUGGUUACUAUGGAUGGUAAUGUAUAAUUGAUUUCUUAUGCAAUUAGUGUGGAUGGAUUCGGUUGUUACCUUAGUGAAUUGCUCUCGGAAUAACCAUCGGAAAAAAUGCGCAAAUUCCUUAAUAUGUGCCCACGGUUAAUCGGUUAAAGGAACAAGCGUGAUUUUAGUUCGGAAGGGAGUAUUAGUUACUCUAAAAAUAAGAAAGAAUCUGAAUUUCAGAUUUCUAUUGAAUAAAACUGGGUUGACUCAGACUUAAAGAGAGACUUGUGUGUCAUACACUCUUGUCGGAAAAGGACUUCACUUUGAUGACAUGUUCAAAAUUAAAAUUCUCCUUCUAUUUUAUUAGUUGUGUGAUUUUAAUAUUUGACAUAUCAAAAUUGAUCACGAACUCAUGUUUAAUUUUAAAUUUGAGUAACUUGGAUUUAAUUCCAACGUUAUAUGAUUAAACAAUUUUAUAUUUUGCAGUCAAGAUAUAUGAACCAAAUGUUCAUAUAAACAAGUGUUUAGAGAAUUUGAAUGUGCAUACUUGAUAGCACAUAAAUUAGAAAUGAUAAAAUAAUCUUUUAUCAUACUUAUCGAUGACUGUGAAUUUUGGAAAAUAAAAUUGAUGCGCUUGAUAUGUUCAAUUUCUAUAAAUUGAAAUUUAUGUUGGAUAGAGUACCCAAGUCUAAGAACAAAAAUUCUAAUUAAGAAAUUUUUGAAGAAAAGACAAUCCAACUUGUCUUAUUUUUUGAACUUGGGAUUGUCUGGACUAUAUUUAGAUUCUGGACCCCAAGAGAGUUGAACUCACUAGUAGAGCCUAUGAAUGUAUAUUCAUUGGGUAUGCUAUAAAUAGCAAAACAUAUAGGCUUUAUGACCUAAAUGUUAAAGUGAUUAUAGAAUUAAAAGACGCCGAUUUCUAUGUAAAUAUUUACCCCUCGAAACUAAAGAAUAGUGGGGGCACUAGUGGGAGCACGACAUUAGUGGGGGCAAAAUAAAUUCCCUUCUAAAAAUUAAGAACUAGUGGGGGCACUAUAUCUGAUCACAUUCGUGUAAUCAGAAAUAGUUAUGAAAACAUCGUACCAGAUGUUAUAGAACCUCGAGGAGGUAGGAAAGCUAGAAUAGCUAAAGAGUAUGAACUCGGUUUAUACAUUGGAAGAAUAUCCAUUAAGCCUUAAAGAAGUUAUAUCCUUAUUGGAUGCUGAAUUAUGGCAAGAAGCAAUAAACGAUGAAAUGGAUUUUCUAGAGUCUAACAAAACAAGACAGUUGGUUGACUUGUCUCAUAGUUGCAAACUAAUCGGUUGUUUUUGGAUUUUAGGAAAAAGAACUAAAACCUGAUGGUACGGUUGAUGAAUACAAGGCUAUCCUUGUAGUCAAAGGUUUUAGACAGAGAAAAAUAUAGUCUUCUUCGACACUUAUUCACCAGUCACUAGAAUCAUAUCCAUAAGAGUACUAGUCCCUUUAGCCGCCAUUCAUAACUCGAUAAUACUCCAAAUGGAUGUGAAAGUUGCCUUCUUUAUGGUGAACUAGAAGAAGAAGUCUAUAUUAAACAACCUGAAGGUUUUGUGAUUCAUGGACUAGAAAACAAGUUCUGUAAGUUAGAUAAUUCUUUGUGAGGUCUAAAAUAAACUCUUAAGGAAUGACAUGAAAAAGUUGACAUUCUAAUGCUAUCGAAUGAGUAUAAAGUGAAUGAAAGUGACAAAUAAUAUUUACACGAUCAUAUGUCUCUAUGAAGACAACUUGCUCAUAUUUGGUUUAAAAAUUUAUGUUAUGAAUUAUAUGAAAUCAUUGUUUAUCAAUAACAUUGAUAAGAAAGACCUAGACAAAGUUGAAGUAAUUCUUGAUUUCAAGAUUACUAGAUCAGAAAAGAGAAUUUUUCUGAUGAAUCUCACAAAGUUGAGAAUAUCUUAAGGAAUGUAAUUAUUUGACUAUAAACUUGCAAGUAUAAAACCUUUCAAGAACACUUGAGAUGGUACGCCAUUGAAUGUAUUAGACUCGACGUUGGCCACGUCGUGAGAUUUUUGUUCAAGUUUAUUAGUAGACGGAUAAGAAGCAUUGACAUGCUAUUGAAAGAGUCAUGAGGUGCCUUAAGAAGAUUAUGACUCUAGGAUUACAUUAUGAGAAGUAUCCUAUUGUACUUGAAUGGUACAAGAUACAAAUGAGAAGUAUCAUAUUGUACAUGAGUGGUACAAGAUAAAAAAUUGAACAUCCUUCAGAUGAGUCUCAAAGCGACCAGUGACUGCCCAUUGAGCAUCACUUGAGGAGUUAUUUGUUGAAACAAAUGAUAUUAUGGAAUGAAUCUGAGAUGAGAACACUAGAGAAAACUAGUGAAGAAGCAAGUUGAUAAGAUGCUUGCUAGUUAAGAACCCUCAGUGGGUGAAACCGUUGUCCGAAGUGUUAAUUUAUUGUGAUAGUCUGCAGCUAUUACAAAAUUGAGAAUCGUUACCACAAUGGUGAGAGACGAUAAUUAAGGCACGAACACAGAAUGAUUAGAGAGCUCUAAAAGAAACGGUUAAAGUAUAUCGUGCACGUAUUGAUAAAGAAUUAGUCAAUCCUUUGACGAAAGGAAUUACUAGAAAGAAAGUCCUAAACCCAUCCAACAGGAUGGGACUAAUGCCCAAAGGUCACAAGUGAUGGUAACCCGACCUACAUGAUUGGAGAUCCCAAGAAAUAGGUUCAAUGGGUGAUAACAAGUCAUGAGUGAUAGAACAUGCUAUGAGAAAAGUAAGAAAGCAUGAUUCCUGCAGUGACAGAAGGAUGAGAUAAUAGAAACUCUUAAUGAGAUCUAUACUCUAUGUGGAGUGGAGUACCUAGCUACAGGAGUACUCUUGAUAGACUCACCUAUACGAAUGUGGAACUUAAGCCGAUUCCUAUGGUAUUCGGGGCAAAAUACCUAGAGCGUUCAUUAAAACCGGGAUAGACGUGCAAGGCCAUAAAAAGCACGGGUUUUUAGAAUACACCUUAUGAAAAGGUUUGUGUGUGGGUUCUAUGUCUGAGAUAGAGUUCAAUGCUGUAAGCAACUCUUGUUAAUCAGAAUUUUACUCGCUAUGCAGAGGUUCAAGUUGUAGGCGACACCUUUGUUUACUAGCAAAUCUUAUGGAGACGUCUUUGACGUUAUUUUUGAAACCAUUUUUUAAAUUCAAGUGGGGGAUUGUUGGAACAUGUGUGGAAAUUGAGUUAAACAGACUAAACACAAAUUCCCAUGUUGGGUAGAACUAGUGUUCUGUGAAUUGAAAAAGUGGAAGUCCCACAUCGGAUGGAACACACACAUUAGUAGUGUUUAUAUAGUGGGGGUGUACCUCUAAGAGGUACAUAGUUAUGUGAACGAAGUAAGCACUGAGAAAAAAAAUAUAUACUGAUAUAUAUUUUAUUAUUUGGAAAUGAUAAAUUAAAUAAUUAAUUUAAUCAUUAUUAGAAAGUGUUUUCUUAGUCCCCAAGUUUUGCUAAAAUAAUUUGGAACGCAAUCUAGAAUAUUUUGGAACACAAUCUGAAAUAUUUGGGAAGGCAAUCUAAUAUAUUUUAGUACAUGAUCUAAAAUAUAUUUUGAUACUCAGUAAUAUAUUUAUGUAUUGAAUAAUAUAUUUUUGUACUCAAUAUGAUAUAUUUUGAGACUCAAUUUGAGAUAUUUUUGUACUAGAUCUAAUAUGAGAAUUACUUGCUCCCAAAGUUUCUCACUUAUUAGUUGUGAACUUUCUCUAUAAAUAGAGAGCUCACACAGUGCAUUCCAUACACCGAAAUUCACAGUUGAUGCUUCCUGUGUUUUUCCUCUCUUCUCCCUCCUUCGACUUGUGUUGACAAGUUCUUCUCCUUUUUCUACUCCUUUCUGUCCCUUCGGAAUUAAGAGUGUUCUUAAGAUCAUAGUCCCUUUUCGGUUUAAUGUCCCUUCGGAAUUAAGAAUGGUCUUAACAGCAUAGUCCCUUCGAUAAUUCAUUCUCUUCGGAAUAAAUAAUGUUUUAAGAUCAUAGUCCCUUUUCGAUAUAAUAAGAAUGAUCUUAAACAUAUAUAUUCUUCUUCAACUCAUGGAGAAGUUAGAUGUUAGAAUGGUCGUAGCACCAUAUUUGAGUGGUUGAAAUGCCUAUUGAUAUUUGGAGAAGUUAAAAAUUAGAAUGGUGGUAACACCAUAUUUGAGUGGUCUCAACAUCAUAAUUGAGUGGUUACAAUACCAUAUUGGUUUCAGUAUUAAAAGAUUGGUCUUAGUACCAUAUUGAAGGUGUAAUUCUCGAACGG
rnacentral:lncRNA from 1 species